CGUGUAGGCGGCCAGGUAGGUCUGCUGUGAAAACUCGAGGCUUAACCUCGAGAUGUCGGCGGAAACCAUCUGGCUAGAGUCCGGAAGAGGAGAGUGGAAUUCCUGGUGUAGCGGUGAAAUGCGCAGAUAUCAGGAAGAACACCCGUGGCGAAGGCGGCUCUCUGGGACGGUACUGACGCUGAGACUCGAAAGCGUGGGGAGCGAACA
rnacentral:rRNA from 1 species